ACCUGCCAACACAGAAUAUGGGUUGUUGGCACUCCGUCACUUACAACAAUGAGGGUUCCAGUUGAUCCGGUCAACGGAACAGCCUGCUCGUGAAAUUAACGUGCAAGUGGCUGAGCACUCCACAGACACAUGUACCCUUAAUGUAGUUCUUGGGAAGAAUCAGUGUG